GCGCUGGUGCUGGAACUGGCAGACAGGCGUGGUUGAGGGCCACGUGCCCGUUAGGGCGUGCGGGUUCAACUCCCGCCCAGCGCACUA
rnacentral:tRNA from 2 species